GGUAUACCGAAGUUCGGUAUUGCCAAAAGUUUGGUUGGCAUGGUGUGGCAAUGGUAAUUGCCAUUUUGUUUUUUUAACCCAAUUCAAGGGCAAAACUUUUUUUUUUGUACCUUUAUCAUACAUUAUAGAUUAAAUUCAUCUAUUAUUCAUCAUUCACAAUUCACACACAUAAUAAUUCAAAUGAAGCAUCAAGAUUCAUCAUGAAAAUUAAGCUUACAAUCCAAAUAGAAGUUAUGAACCAAAACAAAUAGAAGUUAACAAUCCAAAUAGAAAUUAAAGUUUCAAACCAAAUGAAAAUUGGAAGUAAACUUCAAAAAAGAGAAUUCAUUGAUCAGUUAUUCAAGCUUGAGAUGUCGAAACUUUUGGAGGAGGCAUUGAACUUGUAGAAGAUUGAGUUUGUGUCAAGCCUACAUUACAAACAAAGAAAACAUAUU
rnacentral:lncRNA from 1 species